AACCCAGGAUGGUAGUUAAUUAUGCCUUCCUUGGGCAGGGAUUAUGGCAGGGAUAUGCAAGGCACUCUAAUACUUAGCCUUCUAAGCAGACUGGGAAAGGGGGAUUCUCUGGUUUUCUCUUUCUCCCCACUUACUAGGACUUGCCUUCUCCCUGAGCCACGAGAGAGGCUGGGUUGGUGCUCUCCCCUUACUCUGCUCCUACUGACUUAGAACCUCUGGCUGCUGUACGAUAGCCCAGGAAAGGGAAUGGAAAGAAUGGGCUCAAAACAGUAAUGUGAGGAAGGUGAUUCCCUUCCUUAAAAAGGGAAAUCAGAAACUCUCCAAGAAUUCUGUAAGUAAAGACAAUGUGUCUGAAUGCACUGAGUCCUCUGGUGUCAUAGCAAUAAGGAAAAAUGAAUUGACUUCCUGUGCACACAGUCCAACCUGAUGGGUGUAUGUUGUUGCACUUAGCAGCCAUGUGGUGGGCACGUGUGACAACUCUGGGUUUCACUUUAUUUUCUAAACUUCUUAUUCCUCUCAAGUCCAGCAUGGAUGGGGAAAUGUCCCUGGAGCCCCGCAGCUGUGUACUUGUUUGCAUUUGUUUCCCAUUGAGACUUGUGUUUGUGUCCUGCUUUGAGCUGUACCCUGUCCCGUCCAUUGUGAAAUUAUCCCAGCAGCUGUAAUGUACAGUUCCCUUCUCAAGCAAGCAACAGCAGCACAAUCCUGUGUUUUAUAAAGACAACAGUGGCUUUUAUUUCUAAA
rnacentral:lncRNA from 1 species